UACAUAGAUAUUCAUAUCUCUGGUAGCUGCAGCUCCCAGUGAACAGGAGGAUUUUAUUAGAGGAAGCCAGACACAGAGAAACAUUAGAGCUUACACUGAAACGGAGCUACAGCUCUGUGUCUUGUAGAAGAUUUAUUUUCAAAGCUACAUGUGUGACGGUAAUAAUCCGUGCCAGAGCAGACCUCAUUAGCACUUCCGCUAGUUCGGCUAACCUUUCCGGUCACUCCAGGGACGCUGCUGUCGAGUGAAAGUAGCAGUUCCUCCUGAAGGUCAGAGAUGGCAGCAUCUGAGGGCCUCUUCAAAAGAAGACGUAGUUGAUGAAGGCGUUCUGGAGCAGGACCAGAAAGACCACGACCAAGCAGCCUUGAGAUCUUGGGCAGCGUCUCCCUCAGGUCCCUCUCUAUCUCCCCACACAUCCACCAACCACUGGAACACAUCUCCAAAGUUCUGCUGGACCAGCUCAGCUUCCCCUCAGAAGAAGUGCUGCCACCUGCCAGAUGAAGGAGCCUUUUGAGAGGCAGCUGGCAUCGUGAUUGGACUGUACUUUGGUCUGUUCCAAUCCAGCUUCAGCUCCAGAGACGGCAGGCGGGACGAGUCAACGGAGGCCUGGUGGACGAAGGCAUGCAGCUGAGUACAAUCCAGAAAACAACAGAGGAGGAGUGCAGCAGCCCAGAGCCAGAACAACCAGAGUAGCAUCGUAUGUCUCUUAGAAAACAUCAUAGUAGAGCCUUUGGUAUGAAAAAACGCCAUCAUAUAUAUCGUAUAUUGUACAAAUAACAAGUCAAAGCAAAGAGACAUACAUUGUAGAAUUGUAGUAAUUGUGGGCUGACUGAUUUACUGAUUAUCAGUAUUUUAUUUUUUACUGAUUUACGGUAAUAAAUACAUUUAAAAAUGG